rnacentral:rRNA from 1 species
GACGAACGCUGGCGGCGUGCUUAACACAUGCAAGUCGAACGGAAAGGCCCUGCUUGCAGGGUACUCGAGUGGCGAACGGGUGAGUAACACGUGGGUGAUCUGCCCUGCACUUCGGGUUAAGCCUGGUAAACUGGGUCUAAUACCGGACAGGAGCCAUUUUUAGUGUGAUGGUUGGAAAGUUUUUUCGGUGUAGGAUGAGCUCGCGGCCUAUCGGCUUGUUGGUGGGGUAAUGGCCUACCAAGGCGGCGACGUGUAGCCGGCCUGAGGGGGUGGACGGCCACACUGGGACUGAGGGGCGGCCCAGACUGCGACGGGAGGCAGCAGGGGGGAAGAUUGAACAAUGGGCGCAGGGCGGAUGCAGAGAGGCCGCGGGGGGGAUGACGGUCUUCGGGUGGAAGACUCAUUGUGCUAGGGACGAAGCUUGUUGUGACGGUACCUAGAUAAGAAGCACCGGCUAACUACGUG